rnacentral:rRNA from 1 species
AUGAACGCUGGCGGCGUGCCUAAUACAUGCCCGUCGAGCGAACAGACGAGGAGCUUGCUCCUCUGACGUUAGCGGCGGACGGGUGAGUAACACGUGGAUAACCUACCUAUAAGACUGGGAUAACUUCGGGAAACCGGAGCUAAUACCGGAUAAUAUAUUGAACCGCAUGGUUCAAUAGUGAAAGACGGUUUUGCUGUCACUUAUAGAUGGAUCCGCGCCGCAUUAGCUAGUUGGUAAGGUAACGGCUUACCAAGGCAACGAUGCGUAGCCGACCUGAGAGGGUGAUCGGCCACACUGGAACUGAGACACGGUCCAGACUCCUACGGGAGGCAGCAGUAGGGAAUCUUCCGCAAUGGGCGAAAGCCUGACGGAGCAACGCCGCGUGAGUGAUGAAGGUCUUCGGAUCGUAAAACUCUGUUAUUAGGGAAGAACAAAUGUGUAAGUAACUAUGCACGUCUUGACGGUACCUAAUCAGAAAGCCACGGCGAACUACGU